CCAUAAUAACAGAGAAGAAGAAAUCUGACAGAUGUGCUCACCUGUUACUGGAGUUGGUGAAGGAGGCACAGAGCCUGUCUGUACCUGUCUGAAUUUACAGUAAAGACUGAGGAUAAACGGGAUCACUUUAAUGCUUCGUACCUGCUCUGGUGAUCAGAAUCCUCAAGCCGGCAGAGUCACCUGCACCUGUUCAUCUGGCCAGUUUGUGGCAUUAAAGCCAGCAGCAUGUCUUUAUCCUGUCUUCCUUCUCUCACACCAACCAAUCACAGCAGAUGGCCCCGCCCCUCCCUGAGCCUGGUUCUGCCAGAGGUUUCUUCCUGUUAAGAGUUUUUCCUUCCCACUGUCGCCAAAGGGUUCGUUGUUGGGUUUUUCCUCUGUAUUUUCUAUGUAUUAUUUUAGGCUCUACCUUAC